AUGAACGCUGGCGGCGUGCCUCAUACAUGCAAGUCGAGCGAACGGAUGAGAAGCUUGCUUCUCUGAUGUUAGCGGCGGACGGGUGAGUAACACGUGGAUAACCUACCUAUAAGACUGGGAUAACUUCGGGAAACCGGAGCUAAUACCGGAUAAUAUUUUGAACCGCAUGGUUCAAAAGUGAAAGACGGUCUUGCUGUCACUUAUAGAUGGAUCCGCGCUGCAUUAGCUAGUUGGUAAGGUAACGGCUUACCAAGGCAACGAUGCAUAGCCGACCUGAGAGGGUGAUCGGCCACACUGGAACUGAGACACGGUCCAGACUCCUACGGGAGGCAGCAGUAGGGAAUCUUCCGCAAUGGGCGAAAGCCUGACGGAGCAACGCCGCGUGAGUGAUGAAGGUCUUCGGAUCGUAAAACUCUGUUAUUAGGGAAGAACAUAUGUGUAAGUAACUGUGCACAUCUUGACGGUACCUAAUCAGAAAGCCACGGCUAACUACGUG
rnacentral:rRNA from 1 species